rnacentral:rRNA from 1 species
AAUAUUUAAAGAGCCGCAGUAUUAUAACUGUGCGAAGGUAGCGUAAUCAUUAGGUUUUUAAUUGGAAUCUCGUAUGAAUGGUUGAACAAAUGAAAUACUGUCUUUAUAUUAAAUUUGAAUUUAACUUUUAAGUGAAAAGGCUUAAAUAUUCUAAAAAGACGAUAAGACCCUGUAAAACGUUAUGUUGGGGAGACAAGAGUAUAAAUGGUAACUGCUUUAAAUAAAAACAAAUAUUUAUGAAUUGAUCCUUUAAUAUAAAGAUUAAAGAUUAAGUUACUUUAGGGAUAACAGCGUCAUUUUUUUUAAGAGUUCUUAUCGAAAAAAAAGUUUACGACCUCGAUGUUGAAUUAAAAUUUCUAUAUGAUGCAGCAGUUAUAUGAGAAGGUCUGUUCGACCUUUAAAUUUUU